UACGGAGGGUGCAAGCAUUACUCGGAAUUAUUGGGCGUAAAGGGCGCGUAGGCGGCCUUGUAAGUCAGAAGUAAAAUUCCGGAACUCAACGCCGGAGCUGCUUUUGAAACUGCAAGGCUAGAGGAUAGAAUGUGAAAGCGGAAUUCCACGUGUAGCGGUGAAAUGCGUAGAUAUGUGGAAGAACACCGGAAGCGAAAGCGGCUUUCAAAUCUAUAACUGACGCUGAGGCGCGAAAGCGUGGGGAGCAAACAGG
rnacentral:rRNA from 1 species